UGGGGAAUAUUGGACAAUGGGCGCAAGCCUGAUCCAGCCAUGCCGCGUGAGUGAUGAAGGCCCUAGGGUUGUAAAGCUCUUUCGACGGGGACGAUAAUGACGGUACCCGUAGAAGAAGCCCCGGCUAACUUCGUGCCAGCAGCCGCGGUAAUACGAAGGGGGCUAGCGUUGUUCGGAAUCACUGGGCGUAAAGCGCACGUAGGCGGAUCGUUAAGUCGGGGGUGAAAUCCCAGGGCUCAACCCUGGAACUGCCUUCGAUACUGGCGAUCUUCGAGUCCGGGAGAGGUGAGUGGAACUCCGAGUGUAGAGGUGAAAUUCGUAGAUAUUCGGAAGAACACCAGUGGCGAAGGCGGCUCACUGGCCCGGUACUGACGCUGAGGUGCGAAAGCGUGGGGAGCAAACAGG
rnacentral:rRNA from 1 species